AUGAUGAAGGUUUAAGAAGCAGCAUCAUCAGCGAACUGUGUUUUGAAGAUUUGAGGGAAGGGCUGACCUCAGGAUUUUAUACUAGGAAGGCCCUAUCUCAAGUGGCUCUGGUCCAUGCAAACAGAUGGAAACGGGUGUGGGGAAGCACAGGCCUCCUACUCAUGUUAAGAGAGCUGCUCAGAGGCAGGAAUCCAGAACCAGGAAUGUCCCCAGUGGCUGCCCAAGUUGCUGACCUCCAUAACAGCAGACAAAAUUGGAAGCAAGAGUGAUUUUGGAGGAGUCACACUUAGAUGUUUCCCUUACCUAUUUCUGUUCUGGAAAUUUAAAAAUCUUACUUCUCGUGACAGUCCUACAUGAAAAAUUAAAAAUCACAAGGAUUCAUGGAUGGAAAACUGAGACUCAGAGAAUGAUCACAUUCACAUCGUAAUAAAUCAGCAAUAGAGUGAGUGAUUGUUCCUUGGUAAGAAAUCAACUCUAAACUCAGUUGGAAACCUUUGCCAAUAUUACUUAACACAUGACAAUCUGGUGUGACUCAUUUUUCUUGACAUUAUGCAAAUAAAGGAAACAAGACUGAGUGGCCUUCUGUCCGGAGAGCAGGAAAUGAAGGCUGUCUGGGGCCAC
rnacentral:lncRNA from 1 species